UGUGUCUGUUCUGUCUGUGGGAAAGUUGUGGAAGCAGAUGUCUCAGUAAAACCCGGUGACAGUCCACAUGUCCUGUGUGUCUGAAUGGGGAUCCUACACACAACACCCUCCAGUCCACAUUUUUCAUUCACGUUUCAGAGACAGGGCUCCAGUGGCUUCAUGGAGACUGCAGCUCCCACAAUCCCUAAGGCAGGAACCACACGUGUGUGGGGAAACCCCGCACUGUACAUGUACAGAAUGUGGCCGGGUUUUGGAGCAUAUGCUUUGGGGUGCUAGGUGGUGAAGGUUUGCAGACUGAAAUCUCAAAGUCAUGUGCAGAUUGUGAUUAAGUUAACCAGCAUUUGAAGAACCAAAGAUAGAGAAUCACUCGGCCAAAAUCCUGCACACUCUCCCUCACAGCAUUGUCGGUCUAUCUGCACCAAAUGGACUGUGAAUGGUUCAAGACAGCAACUCUCUACCAUCUUCCCAAGGGUAACUAGAGAUGGGGAAUAAAUGCUGGCUGAGCCAGUGAUGCCCAUAUCCUGGAAAUGGUUUCUCUCUUGAGUUGCUGAAACCCCGUUGAUGUUACUGCAGGAUGAUGAGGGACGCUGAGUGUAUCCUCCAGGAGGCAGCACCAUCACAUUACCCCUGCCUACACCCACACAGUAACACAGCAACGUCACUGGAACAAAAGGCAGUGAAGCCAAAGGAGGACUUAGAUAUAGUUCUUCGAGGUAAAGUCAUGAAAGGGGAUUGGAACCCAGCAGGAACAGGAGACUGAGCUGGAUGGUCAGCUGUUUCCCAUUGAAUGGUGGAGCAGGAUUGAAAGGCCGAAUGGCCUCCUCCUGCUGCUAUCUCCCAGGUAUGUAUAUAGUCAUGGAGCCCGGGUAGGAAGGAGUGGGCAGGGAUUCUCCAGGAGAUUGCACUUCCACAACAGGUUUCAGUGAGGGAUGGUUUAAUGGAUUUUAUUUAACAUUUAUCUUUUAACACAAGGUUUGUAAAUUUUGGUUUUUAAAUGUUGUGAAAGUUUUU